AGUGAACGCUGGCGGUAGGCCUAACACAUGCAAGUCGAACGGCAGCACAGUAAGAGCUUGCUCUUACGGGUGGCGAGUGGCGGACGGGUGAGGAAUACAUCGGAAUCUACUUUUUCGUGGGGGAUAACGUAGGGAAACUUACGCUAAUACCGCAUACGACCUACGGGUGAAAGCAGGGGAUAUUCGGACCUUGCGCGAUUGAAUGAGCCGAUGUCGGAUUAGCUAGUUGGCGGGGUAAAGUCCCACCAAGGCGACGAUCCGUAGCUGGUCUGAGAGGAUGAUCAGCCACACUGGAGCUGAGACACGGUCCAGACUCCUACGGGAGGCAGCAGUGGGGAAUAUUGGACAAUGGGCGCAAGCCUGAUCAAGCCAUACCGCGUGGGUGAAGAAGGCCUUCGGGUUGUAAAGCCCUUUUGUUGGGAAAGAAAAGCAGCAGGUUAAUACCCCGCUGUUCUGACGGUACCCAAAGAAUAAGCACCGGCUAACUUCGUG
rnacentral:rRNA from 1 species